UUGCCUCAGUAACGGCGAGUGAAGCGGCAAAAGCUCAGAUUUGAAAUCUGGCGUCUUCGGCGUCCGAGUUGUAAUCUGUAGAGGAUGCCUUUGGGUAGCCACCGGUCUAAGUCCCCUGGAACGGGGUGUCACAGAGGGUGAGAAUCCCGUAUGUGACCGGAAGGGCGCCCUAUACAUGGCUCCUUCGACGAGUCGAGUUGUUUGGGAAUGCAGCUCUAAAUGGGAGGUAAAUUCCUUCUAAAGCUAAAUACCGGCCAGAGACCGAUAGCGCACAAGUAGAGUGAUCGAAAGAUGAAAAGCACUUUGGAAAGAGAGUUAAAAAGCACGUGAAAUUGUUGAAAGGGAAGCGCUUGCAACCAGACUUGUUGGCGGUGUUCCGCCGGUCUUCUGACCGGUCUACUCACCGUCUGCAGGCCAGCAUCAUCUGGGACCGCUGGAUAAAAGCGGAGGGAAUGUGGCUCCUCCGGGAGUGUUAUAGCCCUCUGUGUAAUACAGCGAGUCCCGGGUGAGGUCCGCGCUUCGGCUAGGAUGCUGGCGUAAUGGUCGUAAGCGGCCCGUCUUGAAACACGGACCAAGGAGUCUAACAUCUAUGCGAGUGUUCGGGUGUCAAACCCCUACGCGUAAUGAAAGUGAACGGAGGUGGGAACCUUUUAGGUGCACCAUCGACCGAUCCUGAUGUCUUCGGAUGGAUUUGAGUAAGAGCAUAGCUGUUGGGACCCGAAAGAUGGUGAACUAUGCCUGGAUAGGGUGAAGCCAGAGGAAACUCUGGUGGAGGCUCGCAGCGGUUCUGACGUGCAAAUCGAUCGUCAAAUUUGGGUAUAGGGGCGAAAGACUAAU
rnacentral:rRNA from 1 species